GCGCACGCUGGCGGCAGGCCUAACACAUGCAAGUCGCACGAACCUUUCGGGGUUAGUGGCGGACGGGUGAGUAGCACGUGGGAACGUGCCUUUAGGUUCGGAAUAACUCAGGGAAACUUGUGCUAAUACCGAAUGUGCCCUUCGGGGGAAAGAUUAAUCGCCUUUAGAGCGGCCCGCGUCUGAUUAGCUAGUUGGUUGAGGUAAUGGCUCACCAAGGCGACGAUCAGUAGCUGGUCUGAGAGGAUGAUCAGCCACAUUGGGACUGAGACACGGCCCAAACUCCUACGGGAGGCAGCAGUGGGGAAUCUUGCGCAAUGGGCGAAAGCCUGACGCAGCCAUGCCGCGUGAAUGAUGAAGGUCUUAGGAUUGUAAAAUUCUUUCACCGGGGACGAUAAUGACGGUACCCGGAGAAGAAGCCCCGGCUAACUUCGUG
rnacentral:rRNA from 1 species